UGCACUCGCACGCACGCACGCACGCACGCACGCACGCACGCACGCACGCACGCACCCACGCACCCACGCAUCCACGUACGCACGUCAAACAUCCAAACGCCGUCCUGUCUGGGUUCAUAACAUCACCUGGCGUUGUUUCACUUGAUCUAGCAUUUCACACGUCUGGUGAAUUAAUCAAGAUAAGAUCAGAUGAACCUUUAUUAAUCCCUGGAGAGGUAAAGGUAUACAAACAUUAUAAAAACAAUAAUAGAUAUAACAGAUACAGAGUGAAUGGGUGAACAUAGUGUGUUCAGUCUAUAAAGUGUUAUACAGUGUAAAGUGCGCCAGUGGUUAGAGUCCCAGAUGGUUGCAGAUAGUGCAUGUUAACAGUUCUUAAAGUCCUCUUGUCAUAUGGGGGUCAGCCUUGGUUGUGGAGCCUGAUGGCUACCAGCAUGAAGGACUAACCAGGAUGAAGGACCGACCCAGCAUGAAGGACUGACCAGGAUGAAGGUCUGACCAGCAUGAAGGACUGACCAGCAUGAAGGACUGACCAGGAUGAAGGUCUGACCAGCAUGAAGGUCUGACCAGCAUGAAGGUCUGACCAGCAUGAAGGUCUGACCAGCAUGAAGGUCUGACCAGGAUGAAGGACCGACCCAGCAUGAAGGACUGAACCAGCAUGAAGGACCGACCCAGCAUGAAGGACCGACCCAGCAUGAAGGACUGACCCAGCAUGAAGGACUGACCAGCAUGAAGGUCUGACCAGCAUGAAGGUCUGACCAGGAUGAAGGACCGACCCAGCAUGAAGGACUGAACCAGCAUGAAGGACCGACCCAGCAUGAAGGACCGACCCAGCAUGAAGGACUGACCCAGCAUGAAGGACUGACCAGGAUGAAGGACUGACCAGGAUGGACUGACCAGCAUGAAGGACUGACCAGGAUGAAGGACUGACCAGGAUGAAGGACUGACCAGCAUGAAGGACUGACCAGGAUGAAGGACUGACCAGGAUGAAGGACUGACCAG